UCCAGGCAAGAACAUUGUCUGGGCCACACGUCUUCCAAUCUGAACGCAUUCAUUAUUUAGCGUUCGGGUGCAAUACAGCCGCAACACUGAGUAGCGUGAUAGCGUGAAAUCGUGAAGCGGCAGUGGUUUAUUUCGGUUGGAAGACUACCCGGU
rnacentral:ncRNA from 1 species